AGAGAGAGAGAGAGAGAGAGAGAGAGAGAGAGUGUGAGUGAGAAUGGGUCGGGUGGGAUGAACGACGGAGAAUAUGGCAGGCCUCAGUACUGCUAACCUUGAGAGACUGCCAAGCUGGGAAUGCCAGUGAAAUAAAAAUACAGCCCUUUCACUGGCUUGUUUAAGCAGGAUAAAUCACACAGACACUCAAACAGAUACACACAGACACAUACAGACACUCACAGACUAUCAUAGACACUCACACAGAUACACACAGACACAUACAGACACUCACAGACUAUCAUAGACACUCACACAGAUACACACAGACACAUACAGACUAUCAUAGACACUCAAACAGAUACACACAGACACAUACAGACUAUCAUAGACACUCACACUGAUACACACAGACACUCACAGACUAUCAUAGACACUCACACUGAUACUCACAGACUAUCAUAGACACUCAAAAUGAUACACACAGACACAUACAGACUAUCAUAGACACUCAAAAUGAUACACACAGACACAUACAGACACUCAAACAGAUACACACAGACACUCAAACAGAUACACACAGACACAUACAGACACUCAAACAGAUACACACAGACACUGAAACUGAUACACACAGACACUUACAGACACUCAAACAGAUACACACAGACACUCAAACUGAUACACACAGACACUUACAGACACUCACAGACACUCAAACAGAUACACACAGACACUUACAGACACUCAAACAGAUACACACAGACACUCAAACUGAUACACACAGACACUCAAACAGAUACACACAGACACAUACAGACACUCACAGACUAUCAUAGACACUCACACAGAUACACAGACACAUACAGACACACACACAGACACAUACAGACACACACACAGACACUCACAGACACAUACAGACACACACAGACACACACACAGACACACACAGACACAUACAGACACAUACACAGACACUCAGACACACACAGACACAUACAGACACAUACAGACACACACACAGACACACACAGACACAUACAGACACACACACAGACACUCACAGACACAUACAGGACACACACACAGACAGGACACACACACAGACACUCACAGACACACACAGACACUCACACACACAUACAGACACACACACACACAUACAGACACACACACACACAUACAGACACACACACAGACACACACACAGACACACACACACACAUACAGACACACACACACACAUACAGACACACACACACAGACACUCACAGACACACACACACAGACACACACAGACACACACACAGACACACACAGACACAUACAGGACACACACAAAGACACUCACAGACACAUACAGACACACACACAGACACACACAGACACACACACAGACACUCACAGACACUCACAGACACAUACAGACACACACAGACACUCACAGACACUCACAGACACAUACAGGACACACAUACAGACACACACAGACACAUACAGGACACACACACAGACACAUACAGACACACACACAGACACACACAGACACACACAGACACACACACAGAGACAUACAGACACACACACAGACACACACAGACACAUACAGACACAUACAGACACACACACAGACACACACAGACACACACAGACACAUACAGACACACACACAGACACAUACAGACACAUACAGACACACAGACACUCACAGACACAUACAGACACACACAACACUCAGACACAUACAGACACACACACAGACACUCACAGACACUCACAGACACACACACAGACACUCACAGAGCUCUAUAGAAAUCCACAGUUGAGAAAGGAGCAAGGACACCUGUGUUUUAUCCCUCUGUCACUUUCUCAUGGUGUGGAGUCGUGCUUCAUUAGUGCUGAGCCUCCUCCUGAUCCCAUUCUCUGUGCUUUCAGAGUAGAGAAAACAGUCAC
ensembl:lncRNA